CCCUUAGAUGUUCUGGGCGGCCCGCGCACUACAAUGGCGUGUGCAGCGAGUGCCGAAGUAGAGUUUUCCGAGGUAUUCUUGCAAUGCUCGUUUUGAUGGGGAUAGACCCUUGCAACUGUUGGUUUUGAACGAGGAGUUCCUUGUAAGCAUGGUUUAUCAUCCGACGCUGAAUGCGUCCCUGCCCUUUGUACACACCGCCCGUCGCUCCUACCGAUGAGUCGUCCGGUGAAGUUCGUAGACCUCGUGAUCGCGGAUCACUGGGGGAAGCAAAAUGAACCUCGCGGUUUAGAGGAAGGAGAAGUCGUAACA
rnacentral:rRNA from 1 species